rnacentral:pre_miRNA from 1 species
CAACUACUCCCUCUAUCCCAAAUUUCUUGUCUUAGAUUUGUCUAGAUACGGAUGUAUCUAAUACUAAAAUGUGACAUGAUACAUCCGUAUCUAGACAAAUCUAACACAAGAAUUUUGGGACGGAGGGAGUACUUU